CGGGUUCUGGACAGACCUACGCUGUCGGGGAGUGUUUACUUCGCCUCCACUUCUGUUCCUCCCCGCCCUGGUGCUGCUCCAGGUCACAUACUCUUCCUGAGCCGGCUUCAGCCUCUCCGCGCAGAAGUCUCCCGGAGCCAUGGCCUAGUAUUCUUAUGUGAAGUCUACCAAGCUUGUGCUCAAGGGAACCGAGGUGAAGAGCUGGGUCCUGCAGCUCCGGCGGGAGCCUCCUCAGUUCUUUUCGGACGCACUCCACCCCCGCGAAUCCGGUGGAAGCCGUGAUGCGGAGAGCCGGCUUCGUGGCCUCCCAGGCUUCGCUCUGACCCUGUCUGGGCUGGAUGGAGGCCGGACCGCCCUUCCUGGCGCCUGUGCAGAGAGGGGCAGCCUCCUGCGCGGACGACCCUGGAAACAGGAUAGACGGGCGGGUGACCCGUGACCCCGUACCCACGAGUUUGGGUCCCUUGAGGCAUCUCUCCAGGCCUCUGCCUGUAAGAAGAAAAAGAGCAAAGAUAAGAAGAGAAAAAGAGAAGAUGAAGAAACCCAGCUUGAUAUGUUGGAACCAUAGCCAUUGAAGUGGAUGAGGGAACCUAUAUACAUGCACUCAACAAUGGUCUUUUUACCCUGGGAGCUCCACACAAAGAAGAAUCGCCCUGAAACCUGGCUAUGGAAAAUAUCUUAGUAUAAAUUCAGAUGAACUUGUUGUUGGCGUUCAGAUGCAAUUGGACCAAGAGAACAAUGGGAACCAGUCUUUCAAAAUCAAGAGGUCAGAAAUGGUGGGCCAGCUGAGAUGGGAGAAGAAAAGAGAAAUGGCACAAAGUGGAGAGAAGACACCGACCAUACCUCCUUUCCUCUCUUUCCCACCACAGGUGGACAGCCCAAAGCACACUCCAACUGGAGGAAGGUUUGCCAUUAAAGAUAAGCUUUAAAUGUCAUUUAAGAAGAAAAAAGAAAAGAAAAUUAAGCAUGACAUUCCCCAAUAUCCUCUGCUCACUGUGUUAUAAUCCCUAUCACUCCACAAGUGAAUUGGAGAGAGUGAAGACACAAUGAACAGAAACUUCCCUGAUGCUUCACAGAGGAAGUGUUCUCCGGGACCACACAGCCUCCACCAUGUCCAUCUACGAAGGGCUGUGGCAAGCCAUAUACACAAAGAUGCCUGUUUCCUGUCUUCUCGGUUAAAAACAAAAACAAAACACCGGAAAAAGCCAAGCUGCCAUGGGUUGCAGAGUGCCAGCCCUUAAGUAGUGUUGUUCAUGGGUAAACAGGAGACGGAUAAGGGCAAUUUCAAGAAAUAACAAACUCAAGGCAUGAAUGUGGUUAUCCAAACAUCAAGGGACUCCUUCAUUUGCAUUUGGAUAAUUGUGCAGUUAUAUGAUUUGUUACAUGGAGACCAGAUGGAAGUAAGAGAGCUCAUCCUCAACUUCCUGUACCUCUGGAAGUCUUUACACACAUGCUGGAGAGAUAGAGGAGAGUUCAUUAGCAUCAAACCACCAUGGAUUUCAUAAUCAAUUCCUAAUAUCUGAAUAGAUGCAGAAAAGUCACAGGCAUCUAGAAGUGUGGCCCAAGUUCUGUUCUUCAAUCAGCCCACCCAUUAUCCCUAUGUAUCUCGAUUUUGUUAUCUAAAAGAUCACAUGAUGGAGGAUGUAAGCAAGUAACACAGCCAAGACCCAGUUUACAGUGUCUAGUACCUAACAGACUCUUGACACGUUUCACUUGCCCUUGAGUCAGUCUUUCCAUGUCACUGAAUAUUCUUCCACAACACGAUUUUAAUGGAUAUAGUCGUCCAUUGUUUAAAUGUACCAUUAUUGACCAAUGUAAAAAUGUUCUUUUACCUCAAAUUUUUAUAUGUAAAACAAAAACAUGUUUGAGGACUAAACCCACAGUGUAGUAUAAAUUAAACUGGAUGUAGGCCAGGCAUGGUGAGUCACACCUAUAGUCCCAGCACUUUGGGAAACCAAGACAGGAGGAUGGCUUGAAGCCAGGAGCUCAAGAGCAGCCUGGGCAAUACAGCAAGACCUCAUCUCUACAAAAAAAUAAGAAAAAUUAGCUGGCCAUGGUGGCGUGCACCUGUAGUCCCAGCUUCUUGGGAGGCUGAGGUGGGAGGAUCCACUAAGCCUAGGAGUUUAAGGCUGCAGUGAGCUUGGAUAACGACUGCACUCCAGCCUGGAUGACAGAAC
rnacentral:lncRNA from 1 species